rnacentral:sRNA from 1 species
AUGCCCAUACUAAACGUUCAAUUUGGAGAAAAUGGGGCUAAAAUCCCAGAGAUUAGAAAGGUAAAGCCUGGCGAGCUGCAAGGGAGAAAAAAAACCCAGAUCCAGAUGCAUAGAGGCGUUGAGGGCGGCCUUCUCAGGCUGGGUUAGCAAGCCGGAAUUUCCAGACGGAAAAAUUCAACGGCGACAUUGUGUGUGGUCGUGGUUUGCAACUUCAGAUGCAGACAUGGUGAUCUAGUCCACUGUUGUUGAAGACGAUAGCAGUAGUACAAUAUAAUUGCGAACAAUAAUUUGUGUACAAUAUAUAAUUUGGUAAUAAAAAGUUAGGGGGUAGUAAAAAGUUACAGCUCAUGCUCAAUGGUAAAUGUUUCAUGCAGUCAGGCUGAAAAAUAUGGACAAAUUAGAAGGUGUCUUAGAAGAAAUAGAUUGCGAUGAUGAAUCUUGUGAACAGGUUUGUAGGAGUUCCUCUCUACUAUUGGAUUUCCAUCUUUAAUGCAUUGUAUAUUUUGUUCAACAUAAAAUAAGAAGUUGAUCAAUAGCAAGUAUAUUAAUUUAAUAAAAUAAAAAGUUAAUAAUAAUAAGAAUGAUUUAAACAUAGUACCCCUCUGAUUGAUUGAAAAUGGACAGACUUUCUUUAUCGCAAAAGCGUGUUGAUAACAUGUUGUGACAUGUUUUACUGAAAAGAGAGACAUUGUAGUGGAGAGAGAUGGAGAAGGGCUAGAGGACUUCUAUGAGUGUUAUUCAUCAUGCCUUGUACUUUUAUUUAUAGUAAACUGAAUACGAUUAAUUGCCUUGUAAAUAAUACAAUCAUAAAGGGAUAUAGGAUCUUCUUUUGUGUGUUAUUCAUCAUGCAUUUUUUUAUUUAUAGUAAACUGAAUACAAUUCAUUGCUUUGUAAAUAAUACAAUCAUAAAGGAAUAUAGGAUCUUCCAGCAUCUUAAAUACAAUUACUAAUAAUUUACACAAUCACACAUAUGUCAUAAUUAAUAUAGUAAAUACAUAUAUAUCAAUACUGAAGUUUCGAAGGGUAUACAACUGGGUGCUGAGCUUUAUGUACUAUUAUUUGACGAAAAGGACUGAUAAUUACUGUUCUUGUUCACACAUAGAAUUGAAACGAGAUUUACGCGUAGU